rnacentral:rRNA from 1 species
AUUGAACGCUGGCGGCAUGCCUUACACAUGCAAGUCGAACGGCAGCACGGACUUCGGUCUGGUGGCGAGUGGCGAACGGGUGAGUAAUGCAUCGGAACGUACCCGGUAGUGGGGGAUAACUACCCGAAAGGGUGGCUAAUACCGCAUAUACUGUGCGAAGGAAAGCAGGGGACCUUCGGGCCUUGUGCUACCGGAGCGGCCGAUGUCAGAUUAUGUCGUUGGUGGGGUAACGGCCUACCAAGCCUGCGAUCUGUAGCGGGUCUGAGAGGAUGAUCCGCCACACUGGGACUGAGACACGGCCCAGACUCCUACGGGAGGCAGCAGUGGGGAAUUUUGGACAAUGGGCGCAAGCCUGAUCCAGCCAUGCCGCGUGAGUGAAGAAGGCCUUCGGGUUGUAAAGCUCUUUCGGACGGAAAGAAAUCGCGCAGGCUAAUACCCUGCGCGGAUGACGGUACCGUCAUAAGAAGCACCGGCUAACUACGUGCCAGCCGCCGCGGUAAUAC